rnacentral:lncRNA from 1 species
GCGCGUGGCAGUGCACAGGGAAAUGUCACCGUGUUUGUAAUCAGUCCCAGUGUGAGACUGUUGUCGCUGCACAAUCAGGCUUUGCAUUAAGUGACAAAUUUGCGGUCGUCCUCCUAUUCUGCCUGUCAUUUCUCUUCAACGGGGAUUCAUCGUCUCGGUUACAAGGCCCCGGAGCUUCGUGCCGCACACAGGCGCCCACAAAUGCACGCCCUGUGGUUGUGCUCAGCAAAAGAGCUGCUGCCUCCUGCGAGCUCCUCACAAACCCGUGUUUCUGCCUCUGCUGUCGGUGAGCACAGAUGGGUGGAGAGGAGGCAAACGGAGGAGCAGGCUGUGCUGGCGGCAAAAUAACACUGCCGAAUGUGAGGAGUGUCGCUGUCAGUCUGACCUGUGCCUUCCCAGGAGCCCCCAGCAGAUGAACGCCACCGUUACUGAACUUAGAUGGUGUUACAGUCCGAACGCUUGUCUCCUCGAAGUCCUGUGUUGAAGUCUUC